rnacentral:rRNA from 1 species
UACGUAGGGUGCGAGCGUUGCCCGGAUUUAUUGGGCGUAAAGAGCGUGUAGGCGGCCAGACAGGUCAGCUGUGAAAACUCGAGGCUCAACCUCGAGACGUCGGUUGAAACCGUCUGGCUAGAGUCCGGAAGAGGAGAGUGGAAUUCCCGGUGUAGCGGUGAAAUGCGCAGAUAUCGGGAAGAACACCCGUGGCGAAGGCGGCUCUCUGGGACGGUACUGACGCUGAGACGCGAAAGCGUGGGGAGCAAACGGG